rnacentral:rRNA from 1 species
UACGUAGGGUGCCAGCGUUGUUCGGAUUCAUUGGGCGUAAAGCGCGUGUAGGCGGCCUGGUAGGUCCGAUGUGAAAUCUGGAGGCUCAACCUCCAGCGGUCAUUGGAAACCAUCUGGCUAGAGUCCGGAAGAGGAGAGUGGAAUUCCUGGUGUAGCGGUGAAAUGCGCAGAUAUCAGGAGGAACACCAAUUGCGAAGGCAGCUCGCUGGGACGUAACUGACGCUGAGACGCGAAAGCGUGGGGAGCAAACAGG